CCUACGGGAGGCAGCAGUAAGGAAUAUUGGACAAUGGACGCAAGUCUGACCCAGCCAUGCCGCGUGAGGGAUUAAGGCCCUCUGGGUUGUAAACUUCUUUUAUAGGGGACGAAAAAAGGGCUUUCUAGCUCGACUGACGGUACCCUAUGAAUAAGCACCGGCUAACUCCGUGCCAGCAGCCGCGGUAAUACGGAGGGUGCAAGCGCUAUCCGGAUUCACUGGGUUUAAAGGGUGCGUAGGCGGGCAGUUAAGUCAGUGGUGAAAUCUUCGAGCUCAACUCGGAAACUGCCAUUGAUACUAUCUGUCUUGAAUAUUGUGGAGGUGAGCGGAAUAUGUCAUGUAGCGGUGAAAUGCUUAGAUAUGACAUAGAACACCAAUUGCGUAGGCAGCUCGCUACACAAAUAUUGACGCUGAGGCACGAAAGCGUGGGGAUCAAACAGGAUUAGAUACCCUGGUAGUCCACGCCCUAAACUAUGAUUACUCGACAUAUGCGAUACACUGUAUGUGUCUGAGCGAAAGCAUUAAGUAAUCCACCUGGGAAGUACGACCGCAAGGUUGAAACUUAAAUGAAUUGAGG
rnacentral:rRNA from 1 species